UACGGGGGGGGGCAAGCGUUGUUCGGAAUUACUGGGCGUAAAGGGCUCGUAGGUGGCCAACUAAGUCAGACGUGAAAUCCCUCGGCUUAACCGGGGAACUGCGUCUGAUACUGGAUGGCUUGAGUUUGGGAGAGGGACGCGGAAUUCCAGGUGUAGCGGUGAAAUGCGUAGAUAUCAGGAGGAAUACCGGUGGCGAAAGCGACUCUCUGGACGGUUACUGACGCUGAGGCACGAAAGCGUGGGGAGCAAACAGG
rnacentral:rRNA from 1 species